GCAGCAUUGAGUUGAGGGGAGGAAAAAGUCCUUUUACUCACCUGUGAAUGGAUGUCACACCCUAAACUGUUCUUUCAAUUCAUAUGACUUUCACGGCUAGCAAAAUCCCUUUCAUUUACAAAUAAGUUGUGUAAUUUAGGAAUCCAAGUAAGCUUGUGCUGGUGGAACAGGUGCCAGUCUUUCAGUGUAGCAAAGGAAAAUGAGAGGAUGGAAAUGUUUCGAGUGAAAUGGUUUAGAGGGGAAGUAGUCAUGGGCCAUUCUUCUUUACCCCUUGUUCUAAGAAUAUAGUCAAUAUCUGUUUUUAAUGCAAAGCAUAUCCUCUAGCUCUCCUUCUGCUGCAGGCUUUGGAAGUGCCGUUUACCACGUCCCAGUUCUGUCAGUCACUGUGCUGGAGCUGCUGGCACUCUGUCAUCCCUGGCUGAGGGGCAGUCUGUGCUGAAACUAAUAUGGCCUGAAGUAUUCAGCAAUUAUCAUUUUUGUGGUGGUAAAAUUCCUAGCUUCUUGGCAAUGUAUUCAUGCUUUCUGACUGAACAAUUUAAUCACCUGGAAAAAUGAGAGGGGAAAAAAAGGUCAGGAGAACCUCCAGGCAGUGACAGCAGGAGGAGGAGAGUCUUUGUUCCUCCAGAAUCCCUACAAGAAAAAAAUGGCAAAGCUCUGCAUCAGUAGUGGCACGGAGACAUCCAGAUACGUCUCCUCUCCCGCUUCCUUGAAGUGCCACAAUGGAGCAGAUCAAAGUGCUCAGGCUUUUGUGCCGUAUCCCCAGCUCAGUUCACAGGUGACUUUGGAUGCUUUUUGUAUUCCUGUGCCUUUCUUCUCAAUAUCUGAAUUGGAGAUAAUGUUUUCUUUCUCCUCCCCUGCACACACUGUUUUCUACAUCCCUGACGGUGCAUGGCAUUACACGUUCCCUGCCCCAGAAGCACGGAGCAGUAGGUUUGAUGCCAGCUUAUUGCUAGUAACUAACACAGUCUGUCCUUGUUAUAAUUUGAUCCUCUUUUAAAAAAUAGAAAGAAAAAUUACAGAAGAGUUAUUUUGCUUCUAUCAUUACGUUAAACGUUAGCAUUUCAUAGUCAUAGAAUAUUCUGAGUUGGAAGGGAUUGAGCCCAACUCCUUGCGUAGUACACUGAAACCCCCUCCUGUAAGGACCAUAAGUUGAGCUGAAUUUUAGUAUUAAUACUUAACAUAUUUCAUUUUCAAAGAUGAUGAAAGGAUUCCAGAUUUGGGAAGUGAGAUUAGGAGGAGGAUGGUUGCUUCUGUGAGCCCAGUGACACCAAAGGGCAACAGUGCUUGCUGAAAGCACCGCUUCCCAAUUUCCUCGUUCUGUGGAGAUUCUUCCACUCUUUUCCCAGUGUCCGGGAGAGCUCUGUGCUGGUGCCACCCCAUCUCUCCAAGCAGCCUGCUGGCAGAAACAGCCCCCUGCUUCAGGAGUGCUGAGAGCUUCCUCCGGGGAUGGGCCAGGUGUGCUCCAUCAGCAUGCAGCACCACUGCCAGCAGUGGAAGGAAACACACAACAGCAGGAGAGAAAAUAGAUGGAAAGCAGCAGGAACAAAGUAAAUGCUGUUAAGUUCUGGAUGGACAUUUCCUUUGUGGAGGUUCCCAGUAGUCUGUGGGGUUACAAAACCUGAAAUACUCCGAGGAGCAGUGAGUGCAGACAAGGAAGAGAUUUGGGGGAAGAAGGGUGACGGAGGUCAGCCUCCUAUUAAUUGCAUCUCGUUUAGCUGGGUUACUGCAGCUGACCUCAUUCCGAUCUUUAAUUGACAUCUUGAUUUAAAACCCGGGAUGGCAAAACCAUGAAAGCUCUGGGCCUGAUUUGAGUUACGCUGCAUUCAUCAUCCUCUUUUUCUUUAUCAAACACACAUCAAAAAUUGAGGAGAGGGUUUUGCACUUUGUUUCCCUUGACCCUAAGGGGAAAUAAGUUCGUGCAGCUUCUUUGGGAGUAAGGGAAAGAGAUAAACGCCAGAUGAUUACGCUAAAAAAAAACAAGAGUGGACCAUCUGGAGCAAUGUGAAGAUGUUGCUCUAAAUGAAGGCUUCUGAGAAGGUUCUCUUACUUAUCAGUGCUGUCCUGUGUUAGCUGCCCCCUCCAAGCAUCUGUCCUCCUGUCUGGAGAUUUUCAGCGGAGAGAUCUGUUAAUGAGAUGAGUUUUGAGGACUGUGAUUGGAGUAAAUCUAUUUGCAGAGCUCGCAAAAAGAAAACUCUCAGUGGAGAACAUAAGGAGAAGGUAUUUUUGUGUUAAUUUCUCUGGAGGUCAUUCUGAAAUUUACGGAGGAGAAAAACAAGGCAUUGAGCUUUCCUGUGGGUACCCCUGGGGACAAGACUGAUUCAGGCUCAGCUUAAUCGCCGUGCCUGGGUAAACUAAUAUUCAGCAACACACCUCAAUUUGCUGUGCAGUAAGGCAGCACUUAUGGUACCCUCUGCCUUCAGACAAGGGAGUCUGAGGCACCUCUACCCUGUGAGGGUGCAAACCAGAGCAACCUGAGAUCUCAAGCCACCAGUGCUCCUUUCCUUCUUGGUCAGGAAACUUCCUUAAACCCCAGCAGUCCCCUCUGUAUGGGAAAUGAUGGUCAGCACAGCUUUGGCUUGAGAGGUUGCAUGGAGCAAAACAGGUUAAUUUUAGGCUAAAAUUCCCAACUGUGCUCCAUUGUUUGUGCCCACGAUAGAGCCAUCUGCGUGGCACCCAGCCAGGAGAGGUGGCAACAAUGCUGUUUGCUCCCACAUGCCUGAAGAAGUCACAGAGAUGCUUUAAGGCACAUCAGCUGAUGUGGCUUUCAGGGCGUGGGGUUCAGCUGGAAAUAAUCCAAACUCCAUCCCACGUUGCUUAUGCCUUCUGCAGACUGGGGAGUAGGAACCGGUGGUCCUUAUUACAUCACGAUUCAUGCAGUCUGGCCACAUCCACCCCGCUACCCUUUCUGGCAUAAGAUUUGAAAUUCCUGUCACCUUCAGCUGAAUUUCUCAGGGAUUCAGAUAAACCUACAGGAAAGUGCACAAAUGCCAGCAGCCUGUCUCAGGCAAUACAUGAAAUUCAGAUGACAAAAUCAAAUGCGAUUUCUUUCUUCAGAAUUAUGGCAGGUGCAGCAUGGCGAAACUACCGUAACACACUAUAAAUUUGAAUGAGAGAAGAUGUGGCAAAAGAAAGGGAAGGUGGCUUUGUUCAGGUCAUGCACCUAAUGAAAAAUAAACAGCAGAAAGCUCGCUUUUAUCGAGUUUGACCAAAUUUUAGAUUUCUAGCUGAACUGCUGCAUAUACAUUGAGCCCAUGGUGCCCUGCCAAGGGUUAUAGCUUCUUCCCACCAGAAAGCUGUGGUGAGUCUCCCCGGGAGUCAUAUUUGACUAACAACUGCAGCUUGUGGCCCUCAGAAGUAGACACUGUUUUCCCUGACAUUUGUAUGUGACCACAUCGUGCAUACAAGGAUAAAGGCUGUGCUUCAAGGAAACGUAUCUCUGAGGAGAAUGAAAAAAGCCUUUGAUAACAAAUCACGUCUGUUUCUCAAGUAAAUCUCUGAUCUGAGGCAAGAAACCCUAUGUAAUUAAAUUUUAUUUUCCUAUGCGUAAUUAAGACAAAACUCAUGCCUAUGGUGUAGAUUCUCCUUCUCCUUGCAGCCUGCAUCAUAGCUUAGAGGAGAUUUCAGUGCUCUCUGUUGAACUGUAGUUGAGACAAAGGAAAUUUUAGAGGACAAAUGAAGGAUGUGCUCGAAACCCAGCUAUGUUAAUUUGUGCUCUGCUCUGUAUUGAUCUCGCUUUCUGCUUCCGAAUUUGGCGUGGGCUCUGCAACCCUGCCACAGGCAGAUUGCCAUGAAAGAGUUUUGUCUGCUUUUACCCGGCGGCAUUGGAUGCUCUGUGGUUCUGAUACCCACUUGCUAUAUCAAUCUCGCAGACUUACUGCCCUUUCACACCCUGAUCUACAAUCACAGCAAUCUGCCCGUCCAACCAGUCCAUUAAAAACUGUCCAACGUUCCCUGGAAAACAAAACAAAGCAAACCAAAACAGAUGGCUUGCAAAACGUCGCUUAGUCUUUUUGCACUGCCAUGUUUCAUCCUGCAGAAUUACUGAUAGUGUUACAGCUUCGAGUUUCUCCAUAUUAAUUGCAAUGAUAUUUUUCAGUCUUUUCCUGCCAGCCAAGCUGCUGACUUCUGAUCAGAAAUCAAGUGUGCUAGAAAGACGUGGACUGCUGUCAGCUGGCACCAGUCUGCUGUGCCACGGAGGGAAGCGUGAGGUGCACAACAGCUGGGAAGGGAAGGGAAAAGUGUGUACUGACAUGCUGAUGUAUGAUAUAUAUGAAAAUAUGUGGUAAAUAGGCGCAUAAAACCCCCUAUGGUUCAUAUAAAACACUGUGCUGGGGCUGAGUUUCUGGUUGGCUUCUGCUCUAUAUGGGAACCCCAGAUUUCAGUGGCUGUUGUGGUAAAUGCUUGUGAUUCUCUAAUGCAGUAGUGAAUUCCCAGAGAGAGACGAGGUGCCCCAAACACUUUAUUCCAGGAAAAAAACUGUUCUGGGUUUUGCCUCCUGCAUAACAAAAAGGGAGCAAAUGCCAGAGCAGUCAUCCAGGUAACUCUAUUGCUUGGUGUUUGUUUUAUGCCAUCUCUCUUUGAGGCAUCUUCUAAAAACUGAGGUUUAUUCCAGGUCUUGACUUCUCCAGCCUUUUCUGACACUUCCUUUGAACGUCUUCAUCUUCUCUAAGGCAGCAAAUUUUCAUUCUCCUUUUUCUCUUCCCCUCCCUUGAGCCUCCUGGAGAGAGCACAGAAAUUGCCUCUACAUAUUGAUCAGCCAUUCCUUCCCAACUAAUUUCUGUUUUCUCUCAGGCCAUCCAGCAGUCUUGGGCGAUUUAAAUGUAAAGACUGUACAGACUAUAUGUUUCUUCCCCUACUGGAGAAAUUUUUCUUUGUACAUACGUUGGGCAUGGCAAAGCCCUCCCAGCCUUGAAGAUGAUCUGAAUGUAAGCAGAUGAUCAGGACUCUGUUAUCAUCAUGUGAUACCAGACCAGAAAUUCAGCAUCUCGGUUUGUAUAUUCAACAUCCUCAGCUGUGUACUCUGCCUUGUUCAGUGCUGAGGUCUAAUUGAGAUCUCUCUGUAGCAUCAGGUACUGAAUAUGGCCUGACCAGCACCUCUGGAAGUCUCCUUGACCUCAUAUGGAUCUCCCCAUAUAUUGUGCUGUCUGUCCAGAAUUAAUCUGGAUUCCCUCCAGUGGAGAGAACUGGCCAAUACCUCUAAACUACAUGGAUAAGAAGGUCCCAUGGCAUGCAUCAUCUAUGUAUCCUGGUGGAAAUGGAGUGGUCAUAAUCCACACAUUACAGAAAAAGAGAAAGCUCUUCCCUGCAAGCUAUUAACAUAAGCCAGCUGUGCGGCAAGUCUAAUUUGAGAAGAGUAAGCUUUGAGGUGGUCAGCAAUAUCAAGGAUGCCUCAGAAGCUUCUUAACUCUGGGUCUUAAUGAAGGUUUCACUAGGACUUCAGGAUGUCAAAACUGUACAGCUCAUGAGAAAGGGCAUUUGCUUGUGAGGAAGAGGGAAGACCUGAGCUCCAGCCCUCACUCAAAAUAAAAGCUCAGUAUUUUAGUAACAUAUUUUCUAACAAGGCUUUAAAGAAGGGCAGAGUACUGACAUGGGGAGACAAGUCAGUAAGCAAACUUCUGGAGCAGCCAUUUACUGAAGUGAUGAACAAGGCCUUUUCACUUGGAGCCUUUCCUUCAUUUCAGUGUCUUUGUUUUAGCUUGGUCAAUGACUUGUUCAUUAGGAAUAAGAAAUGAAAUAAGAGGUUUAAGAAGCAGAAAACAUAUUUUUCCUACCUGUCUGGUUAACAGAUUAUCUCAUGAAUGACAAUUCCCUUUGUUUAAUAAUUCAUCUGACUCUAAAUACAGAAUGUGUUUUCAUACCUUCUUCUUCCACAUCCAAAGCAUUUAAUAUGACUUUAUUUAAUAGCAGAAAACAAUGCUGCCUUUUUGCACAUUAUUACAACCUAAUUUCUACCCAAAAGCAAUUUAGCAAAACUCCUAGGGAAGGAAUUGAAUUAGCUAGUAAAUACAAAACAUCAUUUGCCAAUUUGUGAUAUAAUAUGAGGUAAACAUUAAGUGUUAGAGUAAAAACUGUAGUUGUUUAAAUGUGCUGCACGGUAAGUUAUCAAAUACAAGAGAGUAUGAAAUACAGCAAAAGGCUUCGGGUGCUAUGGAAGAAAUCUCAGCCGUUGCCAACUAGAGGAGUCAACUGCUCUCUGGGAAAAUGAUUAAGCACGAACACAAAGUGGGAAUAAAGCAGAUCACUUUAACCAAGGUCACUCACUUCCUCCUUUAAGUGUCAAUUAAAUGACUGCUUAAAUCCCGUGCACAUAAAUCGCUCCACCCAGCUCAUUUCGCACAGCAGAAGGCAGGGAGUUGAUGUGUCCCUGUGGCCACAAAAGAGGAGGAGGGUAACCCGCUAGUGUUAUUGCUGCAGGCUGCAGCUUCAGUUCACCUUCAUCCAUUCCUAGCCCUUUCUCGCUAAGGGCUUCCAUCAAAUGUUCACUUUGCUUCCCAUUUCUCUCCGCUGCACUUUUGAGAAGUGAAGCACCUCUGACUGCUGCUUGGCUUUCCUCUCCCCAACGCCCACCUCUUUGUUCAUCCCAUUCAUGUUCCCCGGGGAUCACACAUGCCAGCGAGCUACUUGUGAAACCAUCACCUGUGUGCGGCCGGUGUCAUUCCAGCAUUAUGCACCCUGCCCAUAUUUCAUAUGAACCACUCCAGCCCACGUGCAGCCCGGCACUCCUGCACGCCUGUGGCACAGUUUCCAGUUGAUGCCAUGCUACCUGCUGCAGCCACAUCUCCAGUAGCUGGAAUGGCUCUGGCUCCGCGGUGCUGAGGGAAGCACUGCGUAGGGGAUUGAGGUUAAUAGGAGACAAUACCUGGGCCAUUAAAACAUGUUGGCUGCUGGUUAAUGCUACCGCAGUUGUGACCAGUGGGAAUGACUCAAGGCAGGUUUGUCCAUCUUGGAUGAAAGGAUUAACUGUGGAGUUGGGAAGACUUAUGGCUUCAUUUAUUGGGGGAGUUUAACACAAAGAGCAGAAUUUGCAUCACACAAGGCUACUAUGAAUCUAGUCUGAGAGUAUUUACUGAGGGAAAAGAGUUAAUACUUUCUCCUCCCUAGCUGUCAUGAAAAUGAGUCAUAAUUUAACUACGGGCCAUUUUCUAUGCCAGAUGAAUGGUACCUUGGUAUGUGAAAUGAUAAAAACAAUGAAAAGACAAAAAUGUCACAUUCCAGCGCUCUAAUCACAAUGUUCUUCCUUCCCUUCAUUGUGUUCUCCAUUCUUUUCAGGUGUGAAAUGAAUAAAACAAAACCCAAGCAGCUCACCUUUUGAGAUGUCCAUGAUUUCAGGACAAGUGCCUUGUGCUUUUUUUUUUGACUUGCCUUUGAGUCUUCCCAUCACAAUAUUGACUGUAUUUAAUUUCUCUGUGGAAUCAAAUCUAGUUAAGUCAAAAAUCUGAAAGUAAAUGCACUAACCUGGAUUUGUAAAACGCCUUAGAAAUGUGAUUAAAACCAGCCUAGCUUUUCAUGGUAAAUAAUAAAAGUUACGCAUCUGAUAGAGAUACAUAGUUGAACGCUCCCAGUGAGUGCAGUGCUGUCUUAAUAUCCUCCUUUGUCCUGCUUCUUACUAGAACAAGAGCACACUGAUACAUCUUACAGUGUCCCACAUAAAGUACAUGGGGCACAGGCUGAUGUGUACCAUAUUAGACUCCUGUUUCUGUAAUGUCCUUAAUAAAUCUGCCCUACUUUCUUUCUCUUCUAAUAUUAGAAGCGCUUAGCCCUGUAACACAGACUUAUUAAUAUUCAAAGAAAUAUUCUCCUAUUACUAAACAGUCCUCAGCCAUCUACUUUUGGUCAUGAGCCCCGUAUUAAAAGGUGUGUGUCCAACAGACACACGUGCAGCUGAAGUAUAUAUUACCAUGUGCGCUAGAGGAGAGAUGUGUGGCACCAGCAAGCUCUCUGUUGCAGCCCUCCCUGCAAUAAAAUGUCAUCAAGUUCCUCAUGAAGGUGUAUUUGAUCAAACACAGAGUCUGCACCAGUUCCUAAAAUAGUAGCUGUGUUGCUCCGGAUGAUUAAGAUCUGAUGCCUGAUGAUUUGUAGUUCUCUGAGCUGUUAAAAUACUUCUGAAGAAACAUUCACCUCUGAAAUAAAGUUCCUUUGAAAACGUGCGUUUUCAUUUCAGGAGGAAGAUUAAGCCUUGCUUAAAUAUUAACAGGAAUUUCUGGUGUGGAAAUUGUUUAUUUUCAACAGGGUGUCAGUGUUGAGCUGCUAUGAUUUCAAAGAAGAUUUGAAGAAACAUAACCUCAUUAAAUCUGGUGCCUUAUUGCCUG
ensembl:lncRNA